CAGUCGCCACGGUAAUACGUAGGUGGCAAGCGUUGUCCGGAAUUAUUGGGCGUAAAGGGCUCGCAGGCGGUUUCUUAAGUCUGAUGUGAAAGCCCCCGGCUCAACCGGGGAGGGUCAUUGGAAACUGGGAAACUUGAGUGCAGAAGAGGAGAGUGGAAUUCCACGUGUAGCGGUGAAAUGCGUAGAGAUGUGGAGGAACGCCAGUGGCGAAGGCGACUCUCUGGUCUGUAACUGACGCUGAGGAGCGAAAGCGUGGGGAGCGAACAGGAUUAGAGACCCGCGUAGUCCCUGUCUCUUAUAC
rnacentral:rRNA from 1 species